ensembl:lncRNA
AAGAGAAGACCAUUUUCCAGGCUUGCUGCAGCCCACGGAGGAGGCAGACAGCACUAAGCCAGCUGAGGAAAUGACCGAGCACUACCUCCCCUGCAAGGCUCUGGCUUUCCAGCGGUCAAGCGGUUUAAGAAUCUUGGCAGGAUGAAAAAAAAAGCAGGAUUCAUCCCCCUAAUUGCUCUGUCUCUCUGGCCACCACGUCAUCCUGCUUCGGCCCAAGGUCAGUAACUUUCCUAAAUCAUCAUAUCCCAGAAUGCCACGGAGGACGCAUGGAACUCAUGCUGAAACGCACAGCCUUUGCACGAACACCCAUCGCCUCCUCGGCUUUGCCUCUCCACUCGAGAGUCCGUGCAGUUCUUGUUUUGCAGAAAAAGGAAGAACAGCGCUGAUGUAAUGACAGGAUUCUGGGAGCUGGAGAUUUAUGGGGGAAAAGUGGGAACACAUCCUCCCCUGCACGCUGGGAGCAGCACAACCAACCUGCAGUUAAACAUUGACGAGUUGCCUCCGCAGUGGAUUUCCAGGAAUCUAUUGAGAUAAGUGCAAGCCAUGGAAACAGCUCUUAAUCCACCUCCUGCCAAUUCCUUAAUACCUGUGCUUUAUUCCUUCCCAUCGGUGAUUGGAUCAGCAGCUCUUUGGAAGUCGAAGUGGCACAAGUGCUUUGCUUUGGUCUCUCUCACAGGUAUCAAUAGAGAACUCCGGCUCUCCUGGGUCCAUCUAUUUUGUCUUGCCCUUGAAACAUCCUUCUCCACCAAAGUAGGUCUAAAAGACAACCGUUCUCCUGGCACAGCUCCAUCAUGGACCCACUGUCUCUGCUCUUUUGACUCCCCUACCAACUUAAGCAAUCGCUGCUCCAUCAUGGAUGUGUCCUGGCAAUUAACCGUUGAGGUCAGGGAUGUUCUUGGAGAAAUUGAGGCUCAGAACUGUUGAGGAGCGCACCAAGUCACACCUGUACUUCCAGCAGCAGAAAGCGAUUUUCCCUCCUCACCACAAUGUCCCCAAGUUCAACCUUUCCCGAUGGGAUUUGGACAAGAAGUUGAUUUCCCUGGGCUGCUGGAAGUUUGGCAUAAGAUUUUAGUGUCAAGAGCCCAAUUUUUUCAUUUUCCUGCCUUUCUCUCCCUAACUAAAAAUAAAAAUCCUCCGUAAAUAAAAUCAGCAAGUGGGAGAAAGCCCAAGGAACAAGAAAAACUGGGAGGUAGCAGUGUGCUGCAUGCGAUGGCAGACAGAUCUCCACGCCAAUGCAGAUUAUUAAUGGCCAGAGCACGCCAUGUGGUUCUUUUUCCACUCACUCUGACAGCAACUGUUUGUCUUCUGUUGUCCAAAUUCUUCAAUUCUUCCCGUCCGAAAAUUGUGAUUUCUGAAGGAGUGCACCGCCAAUGAGUCCGACGCUCUGCAAGCUGCCUGCUCCAGUGGCUGAAAUAGCAGAUUAUAUUAAAAUAAUUAUAAAUCGAAUGCAUUGCAUAUGGAAAAAAAAGACCUCUUAAUUUUAAUUUGUUGCUUGUGAGAGACAAAAUAAUGGAAAAUGCAUAGACUCAGUUCCUGUGGAAAUAGAAAUGAGGUUAAUGAGAGAAACUUACUGUCUGUAAAUGAGCGCUUCUAUAGGUUUGCAAUCACACCCGUUGUAUCCCCUGAGAGCUCGGGUUUCACGGGGCAGGAGCCGGACCAUCAAGCGGAGAGCAACCACGGCUACAAUUAGCCGCAGAAGCCGAAUUUGGGGGAUUUCUCAUUAACCUGUCAUGUCAAAUGCCGUAUGAUAAGAUGGUGAAAAUUGGGGGGAGGAGUGGAGGUGGAGGGGUAAAAGUUCAUUUUGCAAUGCAAACAAACAGCGAGUCACUUGAUUUUACUAAUUAUCCUUGCCUGUGGUUCUCUCAGCCAUUAUUCCCCCCCCCCCCCACCCCCCCAUCAGUAAGAACCGACAAGAUAAGAUAGGGGCUGGUAUUUUCUAAACUAUCCUGCCUGACGGCAUAUACAGAUAAUAUGAGGAUUCAUUUGCAAGAGCGCACGGAAGAUUGAUUGGUUUUCUUAAUGCUGGAGCAAUUGCUCAUUACCAAAAUAACUCCUGGCAUUUGUGGGGAACGGUGUGAGGGCAUGGCAGGAUGUCCGCCCACAGACGGUGCCCUGGAUGCUGUCUUUUUGGGUGAAAAAGGGCAAUUUUGGUGCCGCGUUGCUACAAAUUGUGGGCUUGAUCCACAGUUCAUGGUACCGAUGGGUGGCUCUUUCUGCAGAGCAACACGGGAGAACCACACCAUCGUCACCGCUAAGGACAGAAAUAUCACAACGUUGACUCCCAGUAUCAAAUAUUAACCCAACGCCAGUGCAAGGCGUUGUGUCAGAAGACGCUUGAUCCGCAAAGCUGGCUUCGUGCAACAUGUUGCAGCUGGCGGGGUGUAUUUAUAGCUUUAAAAAAAAAAAAAAAAGCACAACAAAACACUGGAAAGAGUAGAAAGCAUUUUAAACAGCAAAUUUGUCAAUGUUUUUCCUCGCUGCCGAGUCGGAUGGUGGGUCGGCGCUGGUUUAGAUUAGCUGUGUCCCAUGCAGUCGGACGGUAGCAACGUGAACCUGCAGCGCACGGAUCCGCGGAUAGCAGAGAGAGGAGGAGGAAUGCGGGGAAUGUUUUCCCUUGCAGCGGUGCGGUGGUGCGGCGGUGACAGCGCUAACACUUCCCAGAGCCGAAGACCCCGAAGCCGAAAUGGCAUUGCCCACCCUGAAAGCGAGAAGGAAACGGGUCUCAGAUGUUUAUAUGUUAAAAAAUAAGGCUGCUAAUCUGCCUGCCCCUUUACCCGGCAUCGACAACUGUCACGUCUUUUCUCCUGGCUUUGGGGCCAAGUUAUGUAUUCGCUUAUUUUUUUUUUAAAUCAGCGGAAUAACCGCCGUCCUGCAAUCACUGGAUUUGCUUGCUAACACCAAGUAAAGUCACCUCGGCAAUAUAAGCCAAUGUUUACCAUAGAAUUGUGAGAUUUUGUGCUUAUGGAGAUGGACUCCAGCGGGGAAUGUGGAAGAAAAGGUCUUAGGGAGCCGCAGCUCAGCGCUUGGUGUUUGUGUCCAUCAAACACAAAGAAUGCUGAACUGGGGACCUUUCAAACACUGAUGUUUGUGAUCUCGGAGCAAAGAAGGGGAGAUUAAUCUGCAUUGGUAGAUUUUCACGCUGUUGCCCAACGCACAAUUUCAGCACACAUAAGGCAGAGAUUCGUUCCCUUCCAUUAAUCAAUACUUUUGCUGAUCCUUGAGGUGCCUUCCAACCCAAGCCAUUCUGUGAUUCUGUUAUUUUUAUUUCCUUCUUUUCAGCCUCAUGCGGCACAGAGGCUGAUAAUAUGACCUUAAAAUGGGAUAAAGCCGGAGGUCUUUGGACCGCACCUGAGCUGUGGGGUGACACACACUAUGCACUUCUUGCUUCAUUUUUCCCAACAGCUUCUCCACAUGGUUCACAUUUCUGACCCAGUGUCAACCACAGCCCCCAGCCCACACCUGGCUAACAGCGUGAUGAAAAUCAAAUUAAAUCAGCAAAGAGCUUCAGUAACAAAAGCAGUGGGAGCAGCAGGGAUAGCACCAUGGCCCUUCCACCUGAGUUCCUGCCUGUCUCUUCUAACCACGACUGUGAAAUCCCCUCCCUGUCGAGGUCUCUUAACCCCUGUCUGUGGGGCCUCAUAGGGAGGUGCUGCUGAUGUCGAUGAGAGAGAGGGUCACAAGGAGCCGACGCGAGAGUGAAAAGAAAAUUAGAAAACAAAUAGAGAGGAGGUGGGAGUGCAACCCACACCCAUCCCCGGCGCAACCAGCUUUCCUGCAUGCCCUUGAAGUGCAAAGACCCCCCUCCGCAGAAGUGGGCUUAUCUUCAAAAAGAGCCCUUGCGAUGAUACAAGAAAGAGCAGACUUCUCACACCUUGUCUUCGCUUCCCGGAGAUGCUAUCUGCCCAGAAGUGCCUGUGAUCUCAGUCAGACCUCUCUACCUUGCCACUUGCCUUUUAAGUCUGUUUUGCUAAGGCAGAGGCCUUCCCACUUCAUCCUUUUCUCCCUCAGCGAUGGCAAGUGGGAAGACAGGCGGCGUUUCUGAUGCACCGGAGGAGCGGCAUCAUUUGCAGCAAUACCACUCACAGUUGGCAGCACGUUAUUAAAAGCACCUGGCCAUGAAAGGAAAUCGGAUCGCAGGGCAUGUUUGGUAGUGCUGUGGUUUCAGAGCUCUUGGGCACACCAUGGCACGAGAGGGGACUCAGUGGGUGCAUGGGGUGGAAUGAGGACAAGUGGCCCUGUGUGGGCUCCCCAAGCCCCUUCCCAUUGCUCUAUGCCCAUGGGUUUCUGUCCAGCAGGAUAGAUGCUGGAGAUGGGAAACCAUGGCUGUAGGCUGAUUCACUGGAACAGCUUGCCCAGAGCAGUGGUGGAUGCCACAUCCCUGGAGACAUUCAAGCUCAGGCUGUACAGGACUCUGAGCACCUGAUGGAGCUGUAGGUGUCCCUGUUCACUGCAAGGGAGUUGGACUAGGUAACCUUUAAGGGUCCCUUCCAACCCAAAUGAUUCUAUGACUUGUCAUCCUCAAUUCCCACUCUCUCCUCUUCUGCAAUCUCUGCAACUUCCAAACUCAACCCGAGACCAGUGGGAACGCGGUAAUAAAAAGCAACAACAACCUAAAAAAAUCCCUGCUGGAAGCUAUUUUUAAGCAAGUGACCCCUCCGUCCCCCUCAGAGCCUUUUAUUGCAACCCAAACACGAGGGCACACCAACGUCAUGGGAAUCCGAAAGAAAAAGGGAUUAACAGGGAGCUAUUGCCCAAAGUUCAACAGCCCAAGCUGUGUCCCUCUCCCAAGUGAUGUGCAAAGGGUAAAUAUGCAAUAAGAAGCAUGAAAAGUGGUUUAGGAGACCCAUCAUCCAUCAGACGUCAGGUCUGUUGGAGGAGGAAUUUCUCAGGUAGUGGAGCAAGCUCUAAGAAGUGGAAUUUUUCUGGUUGUUUUUCGAGUCUUAAUUCAGAGCAGGGAACAAGAAAAGGCAAAGAUAUGACCCAAGGAUCUCUGAGUUGUGCUGGAGGAAAAGAUCAAUUCAUAAUACUGAGAAGAAAUGUAAAUAAAUGGUCCAUCUUGGUGGGAACUGACCCCUGGUGUUCCCAUGGCCUGGCCAUCAAAAAUAAUUUCCUUUUCCUGUAUGUAUGUAUCAAUGUGUAUAUACACAUGCACACAUAUGUGUAUAUUUAUAUGUAUUUUGAAUCAUGCUAUAGAAUUUGUAGGCGUUCAGGGAGCGGUACCCUGGUGAAACAGCUUUCUAUUGAAGACUGAACUGUACGCAGCAGUAAGGUCUGCACUGAACAACCUUGCUCCCUUUUGUGUUUUCUCUUCCUGAUUUCUAGGUGGUUGGUUUUUUUCUGGCUGUUACAUCUAGGAGUAAUUUGUAGGGGUCAGGACACGGGCUGUAACUCCAGCGCUGCGUUUCAUGUUGCUACCGUUUCACUGAAAGCAGAGAGUGAAAUCUGUGUAAAAACAACAAUAAAUAGUAAAAUCCAAGUCUUACGGAGCUCUUCAAUCAGAGUUUCUCAAAUUAUUUUGCAAAUGGAGAAGGCAUUAAAGAAUUUUUGCUAACGGAGAAAGCAGCUCCAGUCAGGGUUCUCUCCUCGUCCUUUUGGAAAUAGAUGUGGCAACCAUGAUCUAUGAAUGCUCAACUCAAACUUAGCAGAUGAUGGCCAGAAAUCCUGCAGGAAGAUGGAUUCAAAGAGCUUUAGAUGGAGAACAGCAUCACUUCCUCUGCACCACCCUCAUACAGGACACUGAGCUCAUUGCGUUGGCUUCGGUAUCAACAUUGUUAUGGAGGUGGAUGCUCAGCUUCCUCCAGGGCUAAACUUCCUGCUGUGAUGAGGAACGUCCCUGAGCCUCAAAGAAUAAGAGAUAUCUCUUCACGACGUGAAUCAGAAAUGGAGAGACUGAGAUCUCUACAUAGCCCAGUCUCUGUAAUAAUGGUCUUAUGUUAAAUUCUGAGAUAGCCCAGCAUACAAGAAAGCACAAGUGGGAGAGUGGUGGUCAGUAGCUGUCCCUGGGGCUACUUAUCUGUGUUUGUCCUGGCCUCUUCAAGUGCCUCCAUCACCAUAAAGAAGUCAGAAAUGCCCCUCUGCCCUCACCCCAACCUCUGGCAAUAAAUCCAAGGCGAUGCAAUGCACAGCACAGCCAGGGACUGUGCCAGAACUGUCUCUGGAGCAGCACAGCCAGGACGACAGUACCAGGAGAACAUAAAUUUCAGCCUGCUCUGCCUUAUACCAUGAAUGCUGAGAGAGAGAAAUGUAAUACAAGCCUCUCCCAGGCCAUUCCUGUGCCAAACAGCAGCCUCUAUAUCAUUUGUUGGCUUAUUAUAAACAGGCUCCCACUGCAGUUUUGAAGCAGAUAUUUUUUAUGAAUAAAUGCAGCGGUUGUUUCUUUUUUUCUCCUCUACAAAUCCAUUGCUUGCAAACCUUCACGUGUCAGUGUGAAAAAGCAAGUACCCCUCAUAUCCCAUUCCCAUACUAGCCGGGAGGCUCUGCAAUGUCCCCUUCAUAACUGAUUAGCAGCAGUCUGUUAACGUUCAUACCCAGAUUCCCUGUUUACUACUUAUGCAAAGGCUUUUUUUUCCACCAGUGUAAACACAGUUGAUCACUUUAUAUCCUCUGUAUAUUGUUUCUUAAUAUGAAUGAAGUGAAGCAGGCGAAGCAGCAGUCGCUCAGAUUAUGGCCUAACAUAAACUUACAGUGGGUUCUGAAGUGUUUGGUUUUGCAAACUGUGAAAAUGGCUUAAACUGUGUAAUAGGAACACGGUCAUAUUGUUAGCACUUAGCAUUUGAUAUUUAAAAUAAAAAAAAAAAAUUAGGACAUGGAUAUCUUUGCAGCAUACAAAUGUGAUCUGUUUCCCUUGCUGUAUUUUUUUUCCUUUUUAAACAACUCUCCCUGGACAAAUGUUAUAUCUGCUACUGCAUAAUCCAAGACAAAC